UACAGAGGUCUCAAGCGUUGUUCGGAUUCAUUGGGCGUAGAGGGUGCGUAGGUGGCGCUGUAAGCCGGGUGUGAAAUUUCGGAGCUUAACUCCGAAACUGCAUUCGAUACUGCGGUGCUUGAGGACUGGAGAGGAGACUGGAAAUUCAUGGUGUAGCAGUGAAAUGCGUAGAGAUCAUGAGGAAGACCAGUGGCGAAGGCGGGUCUCUGGACAGUUCCUGACACUGAGGCACGAAGGCCAGGGGAGCAAACGGG
rnacentral:rRNA from 1 species